GGGAUUAGUGGCGACCGGGUGAGUAACACGUGGGCAAUCUGCCCUGCACUGUGGGACAAGCCCUGGAAACGGGGUCUAAUACCGGAUAAUGAUCAUCUAGGGCAUCCUUGGGGAUCGAAAGCUCCGGCGGUGCAGGAUGAGCCCGCGGCCUAUCAGCUUGUUGUUGAGGUAAUGGCUCACCAAGGCGAAUGACGGGUAGCCGGCCUGAGAGGGCGACCGGCCACACUGGGACUGAGACACGGCCCAGACUCCUACGGGAGGCAGCAGUGGGGAAUAUUGCACAAUGGGCGAAAGCCUGAUGCAGCGACGCCGCGUGAGGGAUCACGGCCUUCGGGUUGUAAACCUCUUUCAGCAGGGAAGAAGCGAAAGUGACGGUACCUGCAGAAGAAGCGCCCGCUAACUACGUGCCAGCAGCCGCGGUAAUACGUAGGGCGCAAGCGUUGUCCGGAAUUAUUGGGCGUAAAGAGCUCGUAGGCGGCUUGUCACGUCGGUAGUGAAACCCCCGGGGCUUAACCCCCCCUCUGCAAUUCCAU
rnacentral:rRNA from 1 species